rnacentral:rRNA from 1 species
GUGAGGAAUUUUGCGCAAUGGGGGAAACCCUGACGCAGCAACGCCGCGUGAGUGAUGAAGGCUUUCGAGUCGUAAAGCUCUGUCAAGCGGGAAGAAAGAUGGCCGGGCCAACACCCUGGUCAUUUGACGGUACCGCUGAAGGAAGCACCGGCUAACUCCGUGCCAGCAGCCGCGGUAAUACGGAGGGUGCAAGCGUUAUUCGGAAUCAUUGGGUGUAAAGCGCGUGUAGGCGGCCUGAUAAGUCAGAUGUGAAAGCUCCGGGCUUAACCCGGAAAGUGCAUUUGAAACUGCCAGGCUUGAGUGCGGGAGAGGAAGGUGGAAUUCCCAGUGUAGAGGUGAAAUUCGUAGAUAUUGGGAGGAACACCGGUGGCGAAGGCGACCUUCUGGACCGUCACUGACGCUGAGACGCGAAAGCGUGGGGAGCGAACAGGAUUAGAAACCCCGGUAGUCC